AUGUUGGCCAAGCAAUGUUGGAGACUUAUUGAUAACUAUGGUUCUUUGUGUGCACGAGUGUUAAGAGCAAGGUAUUACCCUACAGGAGACAUCUUAAACUGUCAACUGAAGAAGGGGUCAUCUUAUGUAUGGUAGAGUAUUUGGGCCGGCAUCCAAACAUUCAAGAAGGGAUGUAUUUGGAGAGUAGGUAAUGGAGAAAAGAUCAAUAUUUGGACAAAUUGCUGGAACAAACUGCGGGCUCAAUUAUUCCUUGCCCAAUGGUAA
rnacentral:rRNA from 1 species